CUCCAAUGUUUCUGUUUUGACCAUGCAACCGCGCUGAAGUAAUGUGGCAAAAAUAGACAUUUGUUGAUAAUACGUCGGAAUUUCAAAGGGAAACUAUGAGAUCUUGUUGGUCUGUGUGUGUGUCUGCAUCUGUGCUCAUCAGGUUUGCAUGGGCCCUCAUAUGGUCCCAUCCACCAGCUUUCAUCUCCCUCUCCACCAAUUGACACAGCUGGGAACCUACUGGGUAGUCCACAGGGAAGAUUCCAUCUCCUAGUGAGAGGGCUCACGAACUGCGCACACAGGACCGGAGGUCACAGAGGAAAGGAAGAUGGAGGAGUUGAGGAGAGGAUGGAUUUUUACCCAAUUCAGAAUGUCCCCUUGCGUAUGGGUGUCCUUCAGUCCAGUGAUGAACUUUGACAUGCAACUUCCUGUUUAAUCUCAGAAUUUACAAGCCCACCACCAGUUUCUCUCUCUCUCUAUCUCUCUCCCUCUCUGUUUCUCUCUCUCUCCCUCUCUGUUUCUCUACCAUCUCUGUUUCUAUCUCUCUCUCUCGCCCUCUCUCGCUCUAUCUCUCUGUUUCUCUCUAUCCCUCUCUGUUUUUCUCUCUAUCCCUCUCUGUUUCUGUCUACCCACCCUCCCUCCCCCUUCUCUCUCUCUCUCUUUAUCCCUCUCUCUCUCUCUAUAAGUGAAAGAAGGUCAACUGACAAGGAUUUUUCUUUCCCUUCCUCCCUCCCUCUCUCCAUUCCUCUUUGUGGUUUAUGCUUGGCCAAUCACUCUCAGGUCCUGCACUCUGUCAGCAAAGACCCAGACUCCCCAACACAAAUACUGGCCUGAUUCAAAACACACACACAUGCACACACACGCAGGCAAACACACACACACACACCAACCUCCUCAUUAUAUUCAUCAUCAUAACCUUACAUACGCAAACCCCACCAGGGUGUCCAUGUUAUCUGACACUCAGCAGAAAAACAAGGGAGGCCGCAGAAAGGAGGUCAAAGGAGGAUUACUCUGUAUUUUACAGUCCCAUAUUUACUUGGUACAGUUCAUAAGUACAACCUCUUUCCACAUAACAUCUUAGUAAGUACCAGCUGUAAUAGGACUGUAAAAUUAACCAUUCCAAAGGACAAAAGAGAUGGAGGCCAUCAAA